GAUCCUGGCUCAGGAUGAACGCUAGCGACAGGCCUAACACAUGCAAGUCGAGGGGCAGCGAAGAGGUAGCAAUACCUUUGCCGGCGACCGGCGCACGGGUGAGUAACACGUAUGCAAUCCACCUGUAACAGGGGGAUAACCCGGAGAAAUCCGGACUAAUACCCCAUAAUAUGGGCGCUCCGCAUGGAGAGCCCCAUUUAAAAGAGAGCAAAUUUUGGUUACAGACGAGCAUGCGCUCCAUUAG
rnacentral:rRNA from 1 species